rnacentral:rRNA from 1 species
UACGUAGGCAGCAAGCGUUGUUCGGAGUUACUGGGCGUAAAGGGUGCGUAGGCGGUUGUUUAAGUUUGGUGUGAAAUCUCCCGGCUCAACUGGGAGGGUGCGCCGAAUACUGAAUGACUAGAGUGCGGGGAGAGGAGAGUGGAAUUCCUGGUGUAGCGGUGAAAUGCGUAGAUAUCAGGAGGAACACCGGUGGUGUAGACGGCUCUCUGGACCGUAACUGACGCUGAGGCACGAAAGCGUGGGUAGCAAACAGG